rnacentral:rRNA from 1 species
GUGGGGAAUAUUGGACAAUGGGCGAAAGCCUGAUCCAGCCAUGCCGCGUGUGUGAAGAAGGUCUCCGGAUUGUAAAGCACUUUAAGUUGGGAGGAAGGGCAGUAAGUUAAUACCUUGCUGUUUUGACGUUACCGACAGAAUAAGCACCGGCUAACUUCGUGCCAGCAGCCGCGGUAAUACGAAGGGUGCAAGCGUUAAUCGGAAUUACUGGGCGUAAAGCGCGCGUAGGUGGUUUUGUAAGUUGGAGGUGAAAUCCCCGGGCUCAACCUGGGAACUGCCUCCAAAACUGCAUGACUAGAGUACGGUAGAGGGUAGUGGAAUUUCCUGUGUAGCGGUGAAAUGCGUAGAUAUAGGAAGGAACACCAGUGGCGAAGGCGACUACCUGGACUGAUACUGACACUGAGGUGCGAAAGCGUGGGGAGCAAACAGGAUUAGAAACCCCAGUAGUCC